GAUGAACGCUAGCUACAGGCUUAACACAUGCAAGUCGAGGGACCGGCGCACGGGUGAGUAACACGUAUCCAACCUGCCCUUUACUCGGGGAUAGCCUUUCGAAAGAAAGAUUAAUACCCGCUAUAAAGGAUUGGGUUGCGUUCAAUUGGGUUGUUGGUGAGGUAACGGCUCACCAAGCCUUCGAUGGAUAGGGGUUCUGAGGGGAAGUUCCCCUAAAUUGGAACUGAGACACGGUCCAAACUGCUACGGGAGGCAGCAGUGAGGAAUAUUGGUCAAUGGGCGCUAGCCUGAACCAGCCAAGUAGCGGGAAGGAUGAAGGAGUAGGGGUCGGAAAUUUCUUUUAUAUAAGAAUAGGUACUAAAUGAAUAAGGAUCGGCUAACUCCGUGCCAGCAGCCGCGGUAAUAC
rnacentral:rRNA from 1 species